rnacentral:rRNA from 1 species
CCUACGGGUGGCAGCAGUGAGGAAUAUUGGUCAAUGGGCGCGAGCCUGAACCAGCCAAGUAGCGUGAAGGAUGACUGCCCUACGGGUUGUAAACUUCUUUUAUAAAGGAAUAAAACGAGGCACGUGUGCCUUUUUGCAUGUACUUUAUGCCUAAGGAUCGGCUAACUCCGUGCCAGCAGCCGCGGUAAUACGGAGGAUCCGAGCGUUAUCCGGAUUUAUUGGGUUUAAAGGGAGCGUAGAUGGGUUGUUAAGUCAGUUGUGAAAGUUUGCGGCUCAACCGUAAAAUUGCAAUUGAUACUGGCAGUCGUGAGUACAGUUGAGGUAAGCGGAAUUCGUGGUGUAGAGGUGAAAUGCUUAGAUAUCAAGAAGAACCCCGAGUGCGAAGGCAGCUUACUAAACUGUGACUGACAUUGAUGCGCGAAAGUGUGGGUAUCAAACAGGAUUAGAUACCCCAGUAGUC